rnacentral:lncRNA from 1 species
UAUAACAAUUAUUUAAUAAUGACGUAACAUGGAUAUAAGAAUUUACUUAUAAAGUCGACAUAAUGAUCCUAUAAAAAGGACAUAAUAAAAACACACAACAGACUCGUAAUGUAUAUAUAACAUGGACAUAAAAGAGUGUUUAACCUUACAUAACGAUGAUGGAUUCAGUUACUCGUAAAAUGGGCGUAACAACGAUAUACCAAGCCCAUAAAAUGGUCAUCUUAGUGGUUUAACCAACACGCACAAUGAACAUAACGGUGACAUAAAAGAUUUGUAAAUCAAUUAACGAGAUGUAUAACAAACUCGUAAAAUAGNN